GACGAACGCUGGCGGCGUGCUUCAUACAUGCAAGUCGAACGAGAAGCUGACUUCGGUCAGUGGAAAGUGGCGGACGGGUGCGUAAUAUGUAGGAAAUCUGCCUUUAGGAGGGGGACAACAGAGGGAAACUUCUGCUAAUACCCCAUAUGAGCGUAGCUGAAAUGCUAUUCUUGAAAACUCCGGUGCCUAAAGAUGAGCCUGCAUCUGAUUAGCUAGUUGGUAGUGUAAUGGACUACCAAGGCGACGAUCAGUAGCUGGUUUGAGAGGAUGAUCAGCCACAAGGGGACUGAGACACGGACCAUACUCCUACGGGAGGGAGCAGUAGGGAAUUUUGCGCAAUGGGCGAAAGCCGGACGCAGCAACGCCGCGUGAACGAUUAAGCCCUUCGGGGUGUAAAGUUCUGUCAGUGGGGACGAAACUUGACGGUACCAACAGAGGAAGCACCGGCUAACUCCGUG
rnacentral:rRNA from 1 species